rnacentral:rRNA from 1 species
UACAGAGGUCUCAAGCGUUGUUCGGAUUCAUUGGGCGUAAAGGGUGCGUAGGCGGCGGGGCAAGUCAGGUGUGAAAUCCCGGGGCUCAACCCCGGAACUGCACUUGAUACUGCCUCGCUAGAGUACUGGAGAGGAGACUGGAAUUUACGGUGUAGCAGUGAAAUGCGUAGAGAUCGUAAGGAAGACCAGUGGCGAAGGCGAGUCUCUGGACAGUUACUGACGCUGAGGCACGAAGGCCAGGGGAGCAAACGGG